rnacentral:lncRNA from 1 species
CUAACAGUGGUCGGUAAAAACGUUCAUUGUGAAAUCCGAUUCCGGUCAAUCAAUUUAUUCGUCGCGACGCCGUCUGUCGAGCCGUACCGAUCCAGACACGUUUAAUCUACAUAUUCGGGGACGCGCACACUGCUGGAUAUCGGGGAUUUCGGGGCAAUUUUCGCGGAUUACCAGCUUUCGUGCUGCGGAUUUCCGAUAGAUGGCGGCACGACAAGCUCGAUUUUACAUCCCCUAUUCAAGGGUUGGAUUGACGGGAUCCCCGAUACUAUCUAUCUUUUUAGUCGAUUAUCGGGAACUGCAUUUGAUGGAUUUUUGACAAUUUUACCCGUUAAAAUUGUUAAAGCAAAAAAUAAAAUUUAGGUAACUACUUUAUCGACAUUUAAUUAUUGUCAAAGUUGUUAAACAUUAGAAAUAAACAUUUCAUAUUUUAAUCAUUUUUUUUUGGUUUUCUAGAAAUGUAGAAGAAUUUAAUUAGUUUAAUCCACAAAAAAAAGGAAUUGUUAUGUUUGUAUUCAUAGCCGGAUAUAGAAGUUUUCAAAUUUCAUUUUCCAAAUAGCAAACGAUUUCGUGUGUACAUCAAGGGUCGUCUGGAACAUUCCCGAUAUUCCCUUUAUUAAAUUCCAAACGUACCAUCGAAUUGUGAACUGGUUAUAGUAUGUAACAUUGAGCAUUGUAAACGUAUCUUUUCGCCCGGAUUUAGAGCCGUACAUCAACUGGAGUUAACGGGAUACUCACUAGGGGUGGAACAGUGUCGUUACCGGCAGCUUUGUAUUCCAUUAAAAUCGGAUUACUGCAGUGAGAAAUUGGAGAAUAUAAAUUAAAUUUUAGAAAUCAUUGUUAAUUUAGUUAGAUGAAUCACAUGUUUGGAUGGGAAUAGGAGCCUCAUGGGACAAGACAGGUCGGUUAUUACGUCACGGGAACCAUAUACACACUCCGUUUCCCUAUUCAAUUAGGUAAUGUAAUAGUACUCCGCCGUCGCUGAACCGCUCUGCUGUUACCAUUCGGUUAAAAUUUAACGAUUUUGAAAGUUCGUGGUGGGAUAAAAAAUGUGCCACUCGAAAACCGGUUGGAACAAGUUCAGAGGCUGUAUUCAAAGUGGAGAGACUACUUGAUACGAAGCCCUGCUUGCUGGGGAGUUCUGAAUUCCUUAACAAGCAAUUUCUAUCGAAACCCCUUGCGUCGGGACCCUAGAAAUGCAUAUUAGGCAAGAUCACUCCUUCCAAUCCCCAAAUUGAGGUUAUGGACUAAAAUCGAAAUAUUACGUGAUAAUCGUUGAGCACUUGACGUUUCAAAUUUUAAUAAAUUUGAUAUUUUUGAAAAACAUGUAAUUACAUCCGCUUUUCCUAUUUCGCUGUAAUUUUUUUUCCAUGCAAAAAGCUAAAGUUACCUCCCGGAAUGUAGUAAUUUCAAUUACGAACUCCGAAGGGACGGGUAAAAGAGGAAAGGUUGCUCGCUUCUCGUUCAAAAUCCCAAUAAUAUUCGUAAAGCGAGGCUUUUUGAAGUGCUCCGUACAACCUUCUAGAAAAGAGAGUUCCAGAUUUACUUUUCUAACCUGAUAUUGCGAUUUUACAACGUUGGAAAAUGGCUCGAGAAAUUUAGUGUCAAGCUUAAAAAGCUCGCACAAUCCGAGAGAGGAUAUAAAUUAACAACUUUUGUUGCUAAUGGUAAAGUUGACACCACGAAGGAUUUUAAGUAGGUCACGUUUUAAUGUAAUUGUUGAAGUUUUUAAUGACUAAUAACGAAAAAAGGAUUUAUUAUAGUCUCAGGAAAUAAAAUAUAAAAUUUAUAAUUAUUAAAUGGUAGUUUGUUGUAUAAAAAGACUAAUUAGAAACCAUUUAGGCUCCCUUUAUGCAGUUAAAAUGAAAAACCAUGGGUUGAGUUGGGUUUGAUGUUUCAAUUUUAAUCAAA